rnacentral:snoRNA from 1 species
AAGAAGCUAAACUACUGUUCAGUGCUGUGUUGUCGUUCCAUCUGCUCAAAGCAAUUGUUACUUAACUAUACCUGUCUGCUAGACAUGUAGCAGCCAGGGAUGCUUGGUCUCAUACAU